rnacentral:rRNA from 1 species
CUUUUGGUUGUAAAGCACUUUAAGCGAGGAGGAGGCUACCGAGAUUAAUACUCUUGGAUAGUGGACGUUACUCGCAGAAUAAGCACCGGCUAACUCUGUGCCAGCAGCCGCGGUAAUACAGAGGGUGCGAGCGUUAAUCGGAUUUACUGGGCGUAAAGCGUGCGUAGGCGGCUUUUUAAGUCGGAUGUGAAAUCCCUGAGCUUAACUUAGGAAUUGCAUUCGAUACUGGGAAGCUAGAGUAUGGGAGAGGAUGGUAGAAUUCCAGGUGUAGCGGUGAAAUGCGUAGAGAUCUGGAGGAAUACCGAUGGCGAAGGCAGCCAUCUGGCCUAAUACUGACGCUGAGGUACGAAAGCAUGGGGAGCAAACAGGAUUAGAUACCCUGGUAGUCCAUGCCGUAAACGAUGUCUACUAGCCGUUGGGGCCUUUGAGGCUUUAGUGGCGCAGCUAACGCGAUAAGUAGACCGCCUGGGGAGUACGGUCGCAAGACUAAAACUCAAAUGAAUUGACGGGGGCCCGCACAAGCGGUGGAGCAUGUGGUUUAAUUCGAUGCAACGCGAAGAACCUUACCUGGUCUUGACAUAGUAAGAACUUUCCAGAGAUGGAUUGGUGCCUUCGGGAACUUACAUACAGGUGCUGCAUGGCUGUCGUCAGCUCGUGUCGUGAGAUGUUGGGUUAAGUCCCGCAACGAGCGCAACCCUUUUCCUUAUUUGCCAGCGGGUUAAGCCGGGAACUUUAAGGAUACUGCCAGUGACAAACUGGAGGAAGGCGGGGACGACGUCAAGUCAUCAUGGCCCUUACGACCAGGGCUACACACGUGCUACAAUGGUCGGUACAAAGGGUUGCUACCUAGCGAUAGGAUGCUAAUCUCAAAAAGCCGAUCGUAGUCCGGAUUGGAGUCUGCAACUCGACUCCAUGAAGUCGGAAUCGCUAGUAAUCGCGGAUCAGAAUGCCGCGGUGAAUACGUUCCCGGGCCUUGUACACACCGCCCGUCACACCAUGGGAAUUUGUUGCACCAGAAGUAGGUAGUCUAACCGCAAGGAGGACGCUACCACGUGCCCAUG